rnacentral:rRNA from 1 species
GUGGGGAAUCUUGCGCAAUGGGCGAAAGCCUGACGCAGCCAUGCCGCGUGAAUGAUGAAGGUCUUAGGAUUGUAAAAUUCUUUCACCGGGGACGAUAAUGACGGUACCCGGAGAAGAAGCUCCGGCUAACUUCGUGCCAGCAGCCGCGGUAAUACGAAGGGGGCUAGCGUUGCUCGGAAUUACUGGGCGUAAAGGGCGCGUAGGCGGACAGCUUAGUCAGAGGUGAAAGCCCAGGGCUCAACCUUGGAAUUGCCUUUGAUACUGGCUGUCUUGAGUUUGGGAGAGGUGAGUGGAACUCCGAGUGUAGAGGUGAAAUUCGUAGAUAUUCGGAAGAACACCAGUGGCGAAGGCGACUCACUGGCCCAAUACUGACGCUGAGGCGCGAAAGCGUGGGGAGCAAACAGGAUUAGAAACUCCAGUAGUCC